rnacentral:rRNA from 1 species
UACGGAGGGUGCGAGCGUUGUCCGGAAUCACUGGGCGUAAAGGGCGCGUAGGCGGCGCGGGAAGUCAUCGGUGAAAGUUCAGGGCUCAACUCUGAAUCGGCCGGUGAUACUCUCGUGCUCGAGCACUGUAGAGGCAGGUGGAAUUCCGGGUGUAGCGGUGAAAUGCGCAGAUAUCAGGAAGAACACCCGUGGCGAAGGCGGCUCUCUGGGACGGUACUGACGCUGAGACGCGAAAGCGUGGGGAGCGAACAGG